ACUCCUGCGGGAGGCAGCAGUGGGGAAUAUUGGACAAUGGGCGCAAGCCUGAUCCAGCCAUGCCGCGUGAGUGAUGAAGGCCCUAGGGUUGUAAAGCUCUUUCACCGGUGAAGAUAAUGACGGUAACCGGAGAAGAAGCCCCGGCUAACUUCGUGCCAGCAGCCGCGGUAAUACGAAGGGGGCUAGCGUUGUUCGGAUUUACUGGGCGUAAAGCGCACGUAGGCGGACUAUUAAGUCAGGGGUGAAAUCCCGGGGCUCAACCCCGGAACUGCCUUUGAUACUGGUAGUCUUGAGUUCGAGAGAGGUGGGUGGAAUUCCGAGUGUAGAGGGGAAAUUCGUAGAUAUUCGGAGGAACACCAGUGGCGAAGGCGGCUCACUGGCUCGAUACUGACGCUGAGGUGCGAAAGCGUGGGGAGCAAACAGGAUUAGAAACCCGUGUAGUCCCAUGAU
rnacentral:rRNA from 1 species